CAGGGACUGUGGACCACUCUCUCAGGAGCUUUGCUGUGAAGGGAACAAAGACACGGGGGGACAGCUGAAGCUGGACUUGGGAAGAAUUGAGGGGUUUCACUUUCUUAUUAAAUGUAGGUAAUUCUAGAGCAUUUUUUUUUUCCCCUCGGUACGCAGGCCUCUCACUGUUGUGGCCUCUCCCGUUGCGGAGCACAGGCUCCGGACGCGCAGGCUCAGCGGCCAUGGCUGACGGACCCAGCCGCUCCACGACGUGGGAUCCUCCCAGACCGGGGCACGAACCCGCGUCCCCUGCAUUGGAAGGCGGACUCUCAACCACUGCGCCACCAGGGAAGCCCAUCUAGAGCAUGUUUGAUACGACAAAGGAAGAGAGCAGUGGACCUAGGCUGUAAAUGGAACUCAGAAGUGGAAAGGCACCGGGCCUUCGAUGGAAUAUUUCACUGAGAGCAUUAGGUGGAGCACUCCGGAUGGUACAGAAGCACGUGCCUUGCUCUGUGGUGGUUGGAAGAGCUGCCACCCUGCUCCGUCUGCUGUCUCCAGGGUCUCCAGGUCUCCCUCAGCCUCCACACUCAGCUUUUAGCACGUUAUUACAAGUAUCUAGCUGAAUCUUCUUAUUGGCUCUACAGCCUCUGACAAUAUCUGCCCCAGGUUUUUCCAUUUCCUCUAAUUCUUGAGCGCUGGGUCUUCCUGUGUCGAGUCUGCCCAUCUGUCUUCCACGGUGCUUCCUCAUGUAGCUUCAGUGGUGUUUGCGUGCGGAGUUUCGAUCACGUCACUUUGAAUUUUGAUUUGCUGUCAGCAAGGACUAUCCUUUCUAUGGAGGAUCCAUAAUGCCAUGUGUUGUUUGCAUUUUCCUA
rnacentral:lncRNA from 1 species